GACGAACGCUGGCGGCGUGCUUAACACAUGCAAGUCGAACGGAAAGGCCCAGCUUGCUGGGUACUCGAGUGGCGAACGGGUGAGUAACACGUGGGUGACCUGCCUCAUACUCUGGGAUAAGCCUGGGAAACUGGGUCUAAUACUGGAUACGACCUUUGAUCGCAUGAUUAUUGGUGGAAAGCUUUUGCGGUGUGAGAUGGGCCCGCGGCCUAUCAGCUUGUUGGUGAGGUAAUGGCUCACCAAGGCGACGACGGGUAGCCGACCUGAGAGGGUGAUCGGCCACACUGGGACUGAGACACGGCCCAGACUCCUACGGGAGGCAGCAGUGGGGAAUAUUGCACAAUGGGCGCAAGCCUGAUGCAGCGACGCCGCGUGAGGGAUGACGGCCUUCGGGUUGUAAACCUCUUUCGCCAGGGACGAAGCGCAAGUGACGGUACCUGGUAAAGAAGCACCGGCCAACUACGUGCCAGCCGCCGCAGUAA
rnacentral:rRNA from 1 species